rnacentral:rRNA from 1 species
AUUGAACGCUGGCGGCAUGCUUUACACAUGCAAGUCGGACGGCAGCACAGAGAAGCUUGCUUCUUGGGUGGCGAGUGGCGAACGGGUGAGUAAUAUAUCGGAACGUACCGAGUAAUGGGGGAUAACUAAUCGAAAGAUUAGCUAAUACCGCAUAUUCUCUGAGGAGGAAAGCAGGGGACCUUCGGGCCUUGCGUUAUUCGAGCGGCCGAUAUCUGAUUAGCUAGUUGGUGGGGUAAAGGCCUACCAAGGCGACGAUCAGUAGCGGGUCUGAGAGGAUGAUCCGCCACACUGGGACUGAGACACGGCCCAGACUCCUACGGGAGGCAGCAGAGGGGAAUUUUGGACAAUGGGCGCAAGCCUGAUCCAGCCAUGCCGCGUGUCUGAAGAAGGCCUUCGGGUUGUAAAGGACUUUUGUCAGGGAAGAAAAGGCUGUUGCUAAUAUCGACAGCUGAUGACGGUACCUGAAGAAUAAGCACCGGCUAACUACGUG